rnacentral:lncRNA from 1 species
UCAGGAUAUAGGGGGCCACUGUCUGGCAGGGGCACUGAUGCAGGCAGUUGAACUUCUAUCAGUUUCUAAACCAUACCGUCUUUGGUUCCAUUCUCGUGUGGAUAGCUAAGUGAGGUCUGUGCUCUAGCUUGCUUGUUUUUUUUCUUUCACCGCUGUGCACACACACACACACAAUGAUAUUUGGCUAAAAGAUUUCAGUGGUAACGGGGCAUGCUUAGUCAAUGCAAUGAUGCAAAUGAGUGUCAUUCCAGAAGUUCUUAAAAGCUGCAAAACACUCACUAUCAGGGUAGAUGGCUAUGCUAACGAGCUAUCUAGCUGGUAGCUUUAGCGUUCAUCACAGGUUUGUUUAAUGGUGCACUCGAGUUAAUUCUAGUGAUAUGGCACAUAGGAAACAAGUAUUCCAGUCUAAGGUUCUUCAGAGGCUGUACCUUACCUCCCAGGCCUGCGAAAGAAUCCAGCGCUCCAUCGCCUGAGACCUCUGAAACAAAAAGUAGGCCUAGAGGAGGAGGCCACUAUCACUGGAGAAAGAGACGGAGAUAUUGAGGACGAAGGUCAGGGUGCCUUGUAAGGAUCCGGCGGAGAGAGAGGAAUAACACCAUCCCCAGCCAGGCUGAGUAUACACAGUCCUAGCUCCCCCUGCAGAUUACAAGAGAGGGAUCUGUCACGCCUUCAGCCAGCAUGCAUAAAUACUGUGGACUUGUUGAGAACACUCAUGAGUCCAACAAAGAUGAAGAGGUAGAAGGAGACAAUGGGGGAAGAAGGAGAAAUGGGAACUAUAGCUCCAGGAGGUGGGACAGUGGUGGCCCGGGUGGACAGAGCGGGCCAGGUUACAGAAUCCAACCCUGGGGACCCCCAUGGAGGAAGGAGUCUGGCUCAACAAGAAGAAGAAGAGGAGGAAGCUGAAGAAGAAACAUCAUAAACAGAAGCUCUUGUAUCUAGGUCUGGUGCCCCGUGCUGCAGCUCAAGUUCACCUACGAGAGCGAGGAGGAUGGGAGGGGGGGAGGAAGAGAUGAGGCAGAGAAGAGCAGCUGAAGUGAUAAUCUUCCUCAGGACCACACAAGAUCUACGUGUCUGAUUGUUCAUCUGGUAGUGGAGGGUCUUCUGACCAGCCUGUACAAUGGAACAUUCCUCCCCUGCUGUUUUGGCCCAGCUCCACAGCCUCUAGUCCCUGGUGCAGCAACAGGACACAGCAAGGAUGGCAAAGAAUCUGCAGGAGCUCCAGAACAGCUCUACCAUGUCUACUGGUGAGUAGUCUUAUCUGGUUUUACCUCGCCUGGAUUAACCUGCGUUUGUCUGAGCUCGCCAUUCGCGUACACAUGCAUACAGUCACCGGUCAGUAUCAGCCCUCACCUGUCCUUAAAUACCAGACCACACCUGUCUAUACUAUCACUUACCUAUACAUGCAUGCUCUCACCUAUCUAAACACUAACCAGUUUGAAAAUCACCAGCGUCUCCUGCCAUUCAUUCACCUGGAGUUUCACCCAAGAGCUGCCAGGAGACCACACUUUGUACAGGUCUAGGAAUUGUGAACGAGAUGACCUCAGGUGAUGCCACUGCAGUUGUGUCCCUGUUUCAGUACUGGAUCACAGACAAUCCCGCCCAUGCCGAGAGAAUGGAAAACAGGCCAACCUACAACAUAACCUUCCUAGUCGAGCCAACCAACAACACAGCCUUAGACUUUCCUAGAUGUUCAGGGUUUUAAACAACACUGCUGACGGAAAACUUGUCUGACUUAAUUCAUUGUGAGCCCAUGUAACAGAGUUAAGUACAUACCGUAAGCUCACUCCACAGCUAGCUUGAAAUGUCGCGGAUGGAGCCAUCCAAUCGGUACCUUUUGGGUGGCUCAAACCGUUGGAAUGUUGUCAAGGAGGGCGGCCACGUGUGUUUACAAAGCAGAGGUCCCGAGUUUGAGCCGGGUACGAGCCGAAUCAGGGGGAAGUGAUACCAGACACAAUUAAUUAACCGUUUAAUAGAUUUUCCCCACAGAAAAGUGUGGCGAGCGAGCGUAUAAAAACAUUAAGUGGAUAAGGAAUAACAGUACUUUACCACAUUGUCCUAUGCACCUGUGCGGGCUCUAGGUCUAGUGUGAGCUUCAAGAGUUAUAUUAUUCCAUGUGAAAACCUACACUAUUUUUCUGUUACAAUGUUGUUAUAACCAUGAGAAAUGAAACAGACUAAAGUAUAGCUUGUGACAGUUUCGUUAUUCCUGAUAAAAAAAAAACGUCUCUCUGAUACACACAACCGUUCAAAAGUUUAGGGUCACUUAGAAAUGUCCUUGUUUUUGAAAGAAAAGAGAAGAGAAAAAAAAGUCCAUUAAAAUAACAUCCAAUUGAUCAGAAAUACAGUGUAGACAUUGUUAUAAAUGACUUCUUUUUUUAAUGGAAUAUCUACAUAGCCGUACAGAGGCCCAUUAUCAGCAACCAUCACUCCUGUGUUAGCUAAUCUUAAAUGUAUCCUUUUAAAAGGCUAAUUGAUCAUUAGAAAACACUUUUGCAAUUAUGUUAGCACAGCUGAAAACUGUUGUUCUGAUUAAAGAAGCAGUAAAACCGGCCUUUAGACUAGUUGAGUAUCUGGAGCAUCAGCAUCUGUGGGUUUGAGUGUGUGGCAUGCUUGAACAGAGGCAUUUGUGGUUCUGUGGUCUGGCCCACCAUCAGAUUGAAUGAUCAAGAUUGACUUGUUGAGAGACACAUCAUCUUCACUCUAGUUCUCUCCACUGAGGAUGCUGAGAUUUUCAACUGUAUGUCAAAGGUGGCUGGAUGGCUAGAAAACCUUGUCCUUGACAGUGACAUGAACUUUCCCAUCAUAGAAUGAACUAGAUGGAGAUGCUGGGAUCAACAUGACAGAUGGUACAAGUCCACUGAUGUGGUAAUCAUGGUCGGCAGCUGCUAGAACUGGCCCACUCACAGGAGCAAUGCUUGGAUGUCUGCCUCUGUUACGGGUCCCUAUAGGCUGGCCAGGUUCUCCGACAGGGAUGAUUGCCUAAUCAUCCACACAUAACAUUUCACUGUCCUGCCACAUGCAGGCAAACUGUUUUAAUGUAGUUCCAAACUUUUGAGUCUUGAUGUCCCUUUAUCACCCGAGACUGGACCAUGAACUUGACGUCAAACCUUCCUGUGUACUGGAGAGCAGACAUGGACCAUGGAUUCUUGGGUGUAAACUGCAGUCUUAGCCACUGUAUUGAUGGGAUUUUAGUUUUUGGUGGAAGCCGCUUUUCCACUUUGUCACACAAGUCCUCAACUUAUAUAUAUUACCUUUUAUUUAACUAGACAUGUCAGUGAAGAACAAAUUCUUAUUUUCAAUGAUGGCCUAGGAACAGUGGGUUAACUGCCUUGUUCAGGGGUAGAACGACAGAUUUUUACCUUGUCAGCUCAGGGAUUUGAUCUUGCAACCUUUCGGUUACUAGUCCAAUGCUCAAACCACUGUCGCCCCAUGUCUGCAAUCGUUGACCUGAGCUGUGUAUUCGUUAAAAUACUUCUGUACUUCAUCCCAAAAGGGCUGAAAUGAGGAUUGUGGUUUGCCAUUCAGCUUCCUUAAAAAGAAGGAACAAGGAUACUCUCUCAUCAAUUAGGCCCUGUCCAUCAUCGUUUGCUUAACCCUUGUCGUCUGUCAGAAACUGAUACAUUUCUCUCAGGAAGUAGCUGUUCACUUUGCAGCGUGUGCGUAUUUGUUCAUGAAUGUUUUUUUGCAUUGCUCUAGUGUGGAGUAUGUUGGUAUUUCUUUUCUCAGUGUGGCGAUGACAGAAGCUUGCCUGGUCUCAUGAACACCAUUGCUAUGUGAGGAUACCUUCCAUAUGAAUGUCAGAGUGCCUAGGUGGUUACCACAGGUAUACUUGUAUACAGUGAAAGUCAAUGGAAGUUUCAAGUUGUCAAUCCAUUUCCUUCUCCGGAAUCUGUCUUCAGGAGCAAAGUCCAGUAGAAAGAGGAGGGUGGUAUUGCGGCACUUUCUCCAAAGCUUGUAACAGAGUGCUGGACUUGGGGCUGACCGGUCUACAUGAUGCCCUCACAGUGUAGCAUAAAACAUCAGACUGGUGUACGUAGGGAGUGGGCUGUUGGUGACAUCUGGUCAUUGCUUGAUUCACCUUCUCCCAGUGGGAUGCAAAAGCUGCUAUGGACUCUGUUAGACACACCACAUCUUCUCCGAGAACUAAUGUGAACAAGGAAUACAGGCAGUUUUAGUUGAGAGGUUUAAAACAUAAAGCUUACACGUUUUACAUUUCCUGAAUAAAUGGUGACAUUUUACAAUAUCAGACACAGUAUGUUUGACAUGAAUCUACAAGGAGUAGUAGUGUGCCACAAACUUAAUUGAUAUAGAAGAAUGACACAAUACAUUCAUUAAAAUACCUGUGAAGUGAAUCCAGUGUGCCCAGGGCUGGGAUAUUGAGAUAGACAGCUGACUGCAAUGAAGCUGAAUUUGACUUAGUUUUGGUGUCUUGUGUUGUGUUUCCUGGUACCUGUUGUUGGAUCCAAGGCCUUGUGGUAAUUGCAGUAAUCUGUCUGGUAUGGCUAAGCCUCCCUCUUUAAACUUCUCUAGAUGGAGGUCCAUAUACCAGAGUGCUUUUGAUAAUCGGGUAACGAAUGUCCUGGCUAUAUGGACAUGAAAAAUAGGAGAAAUAUUAUAUUUCAUCCUGAUUAUCAGAUUAUUAAUACACAAAUGAACAUUGUUCACAUAGGAUAUAUAAUAGAAUGAUAUAUAUUCAAAAAUGACUGGGAAAAAAGUUAUGAAUGUAUGUAUUAUCAGUUCAUUUAUCUACUUAAUUGUAUAGCCUAACAAGGUAUUAACAAAUGAAGACAAUACAAAUAUAAAGGCCUUUCAUAAACUACCCUUUCUAGGAAAAAUAUGCCAUUAUUAAUAAAGGGCAAUCAUUUGAAUUGGGUCAAACUAAUGGAAAAAGUGCAGUCCAAUCUCGUAAUUUAAUGUGAUGUAUAGGGUAAUAGAGUAGACAAAAAAAAUCUAAUUCAAGAAUGAUUGACAAUAAAUAAUUGUAAUCAGAUUAAAAUGUUGAUGUAUAAUAAUGAGUUCAUUACCUGACUGCAUCUCUAUAGCCUAGGCGUUAACAAAAUAUUCAUACAAAUAUGAUUAGGCCUCUCAUAGACUAGGCCUUGUAGAAAAAGGGUCAAUCAAGUUAGGUCUGCCAAAUGAAUCUAGCAUUGGCAAAAAUACAUGAAUCCAACCAUAGAGUAUUGCCUAUCAUCACCAAAUAAAAAAUGUUGUUUUUAACGUGCACAAUUAGAAGCAUCAAAUCUAUUGAGCAAGCUUGACUAAGUUCGAGCCCUGUAACUUUGCUCACCACAUCCUCCUUUGAUUGUCUCGUCUGGCUGCCACGAAAAGCCCCCACCUUGGAGAC